rnacentral:lncRNA from 10 species
GGCGGCGGCUGCAGAACAGCAAAGUUCCAAUGGUCCUGUAAAGAAGUCCAUGCGUGAGAAGGCUGUUGAGAGAAGGAGUGUCAAUAAAGAGCACAACAGUAACUUUAAAGCUGGAUACAUUCCGAUUGAUGAAGAUCGUCUCCACAAAACAGGGUUGAGAGGAAGAAAGGGCAAUUUAGCCAUCUGUGUGAUUAUCCUCUUGUUUAUCCUGGCUGUCAUCAAUUUAAUACUCCCUGGCAGCCAGGCAAGAGACAGAAGAGCCUUCUCUGGGAUUCCUGAUGCAUAUAGAAAAAAGAUCUGAAGAUACUGUCAUUUGAUAACACUUGUUAUUUGGGCCGUGAUUCGCAUUGGACCAAAUGGCUGUGAUAGUAUGGAGUUUCAUGAAAGUGGCCUGCUUCGAUUUAAGCAAGUAUCUGACAUGGGAGUGAUCCACCCUCUUUAUAAAAGCACAGUAGGAGGAAGGCGAAAUGAAAAUUUGGUCAUCACUGGCAACAACCAGCCUAUUGUUUUUCAGCAAGGGACAACAAAGCUCAGUGUAGAAAACAACAAAACUUCUAUUACAAGUGACAUCGGCAUGCAGUUUUUUGACCCGAGGACUCAAAAUAUCUUAUUCAGCACAGACUAUGAAACUCAUGAGUUUCAUUUGCCAAGUG